AUCGUCACUUUUACACCUCCUGGCGAACCUCCGCCGCAAGGGAGUCCGGGUGAAGGGGAGAGUGGCUGCGUCUCCCAGCAUCGGCGGAGGAACUGAAGGGCGGGUGAAGGACCUCGUGAGAAGGGAGUUGGGCUGUGACUUUGAGAUGGAAGCUGAAGAAGACAUCUGGAGAUAUUAGUAAAGACUGUGAUGCCAGAUGCAGAUGAAGGGAGGCGACCAGUGCUAAACCUCAUCAUGUGGGAGACCUUCACCUCUGAUUUGGUCGUAGCACCAUGUUGAGAUAUUUUCUUAGUUUGUAUAUAUAAUGUGUAGUUACACAUACUUCAUACAGUUAAUAUAAAGGUUUAUUUACUGUCUAGUGAUUGAAAUAUAUUUUUACAAUAUUAUUUUACCAAGGUAUUAAAUGGCAUAUUUUUAGAAUAUUCUUAGGGUAUUAUCCAAAAGAAAAAUGUACAUUUUGAGAAAGAUUUUUUCCUUAAUUUAAGAGAGAGUUGUUAGUUACAUAUUCUAGUGUUUAGUUUGAAGUAUUACCUUUUGAGUGUGGCAUUUGGUAUCUUUCAUGCUUCUCUUUAGUAUGGAUCAUUUAUAUAUGUCAGGAGCCAUUCCCCAUUCAGGAAUUUGGCCCCUGGUACUAUAAAAGAUUUCUGGGCUGAUGAAACAGGUUUAUAUUGAUGUGGAUUAAUUUUCCUUUCAUAGUUAGAUAACUUGUUCCCAUUGUUUCUUGUGUGAAUAUUGGACCAAUAAAUGAUAAGAAAGAC